ensembl:lncRNA
CCUUGAAUGAGUAGGUGUGUCCAUACUUUUGACUGGUUGUGUAUAUGGCUUACCUUGUAGAGCCAACAGUCUGUUAUUAAGGGUAGGAAGUGGUUUACUUCCUAAUGGCAAAACUAUUAACUAAAGCGGAUUGAACCAGGAUAUGAAUGAGAUGCACCAGGGGUAAACAGCACACAGUCAGCAGGCAGGCUGCUGUCCAAAUGCUGGUUAUUCAAUUAUUGCAUCUGAGCUCCUAGAGUGUGAGGCUCUCUUUCUAUUUGAAGUGUCCUACCCAGCUAGCCAGCUCCUCACCUAAACGGGUGUGAGUUUCUAUCCCAUCCAGAUUAUACGCUGAGGGUCAACAUCUCUCUGAAGGAGAAAUUAUAGAUCACAUAAUAAAGACAUGAAAGCACAAAAUAUGUGGUCGUUAGGGAGAGGUUGACAGAGACAUGGAGAGAGAGGGAGAGACAGAGAGGUGGAGAGAGAGGGAGAGAGAGGUUGACAGAGAUAUGGAAAGAGAGAGAGAGAGGUUGACAGAGAGAUAGAGAGAGAGAGAGAGAGAGAGAGGUUGACAGAGAGAUGGAGAGAGGGAGAGAGAGAGAGGUUGACAGAGAGAUGGAGAGAGAGGGAGAGAGAGAGGUUGACAGAGAGAUGGAGAGAGAGGGAGAGAGAGAGGUUGACAGAGAGAUGGAGAGAGAGGGAGAGAGAGAGGUUGACAGAGAGAUGGAGAGAGAGAGGUUGACAGAGAGAUGGAGAGAGAGGGAGAGAGUGAGGUUGACAGAGAGAUGGAGAGAGAGGGAGAGAGAGAGGUUGACAGAGAGAUGGAGAGAGAGGGAGAGAGAGAGAGGUUGACAGAGAGAGGGAGAGAGAGGUAGAGAGAGAGAGGUUGACAGAGAGAUGGAGAGAGAGGUAGAGAGAGAGAGGUUGACAGAGAGAUGGAGAGAGAGAGGGAGAGAGAGGUAGAGAGAGAGAGGUUGACAGAGAGAUGGAGAGAGAGGUAGAGAGAGAGAGGUUGACAGAGAGAUGGAGAGAGAGGUAGAGAGAGAGAGGUAGAGAGAGAGGUUGACUUAGAGAUGGAGAGAGAGGUAGAGAGAGAGAGGUUGACAGAGAGAUGGAGAGAGAGGUAGAGAGAGAGAGGUUGACAGAGAGAUGGAGAGAGAGGGAGAGAGUGAGGUUGACAGAGAGAUGGAGAGAGAGGGAGAGAGAGAGAGGUUGACAGAGAGGUCAAUGGGAGGUAAUUCCUGAGGUGUUGCAUCCUGUGUGUUCAUUGGCUGUAUUUACAUGUGAUUCAUUCAUUGCGUUCUCAAGAUAGUCUGCAUCCAUCAAAUCGAAUCAAAUCAAGCUUUAUUUAUACAGCACAUUACUGACAUGGAAUACAACACAAUGUGGCUAAAAAGGCUAAUCAAAACAAUGAAAAUUAGAACUGAAAUAUUUACUACACAGCAAACAUAAGAGGAUAAAAAACUAAAGAAUAACAAUAAACACUGAACAACUAAAAAACACCUUAAGGAAAAGCAAAGUUAGAAAUUGUGUUUUCAGAUCUCUUUACAUCCUCUCUCUCCUCCGGGCCUCACUCCUAUCUCCUUUCUUUUUUUCGCUCCUCCCCUCAUCCUCUCCCCUCCUCUCCUCCUCCUUCCCUCCUCCUCUUCUCCUCCUCUCUUUCUCUCCUCCUCCUCUCCCCUCCUCUCCUCCUCCUUCCCUCCUCCUCUUCUCCUCCUCUCUUUCUCUCCUCCUCCUCUCCCCUCCUCUCCUCCUCCUUCCCUCCUCCUCUUCUCCUCCUCUCUUUCUCUCCUCCUCCUCUCCCCUCCUCUCCUCCUCUCCUCCUCCUUCCCUACUCCUCUGCUCCUCCUCUCUUUUUCUCCUCCUCCUCUCCUCCUCCUUCCCUCCUCCUAUUCUCCUCCUCCUCUCCUCCUCUCUUUCUCUCCUCCUCCUUCCCUCCUCCUCUUCUCCUCCUCCUCUCCUCCUCUCUUCCUCUUUUUCUUCUCACCUCAUCUUCUCCUCCUCCUCUCCUCCUCUCUUCCUGUCUUUCUUCUCUCCCUUCCUCUCCUCCUCCUUCCCUCCUCCUCUCCUCCUCUCUUUCUCUCCUCCUCUCUUUCUCCUCACCUCAUCCUCUCUCCUCCUCCUUCCCUCCUCCUCUUCUCCUCUUCCUCUCCUCCUCUCUUUCUCUCCUCCUCUCUUUCUCUCCUCCUUUCUUUCUCAUCUCAUCCUCCAGUCCUCCUCUCCCCUCUCCCCCCUCUCUCUCUUCUCCUCUCCUCCCCUCUUUCUCUCUUCCUCUUUUUCUCCUCUCCUCCUCCUCUCCCCCUCCUCUCCUCUUAUCCUCUCCUCCUCACUUUCUCCUCUCCUCCUCAUCUCCUCUCCUCCUCUCCUCCUCUUCGCCUCUCCUCUUCUCUUAUCCUCUCCUCCUCUCUUUCUCCUCUCCUCCUCAUCUCCUCUUCUCCUCUCCCCCUCUCCUCCUCUCCUCUCCUCCUCUCCCCCUCCUCUCCUCUUCUCCUCUCCUCCCCUCUUUCUCUCUUCCUCUUUUUCUCCUCUCCUCCUCCUCUCCCCCUCCUCUCCUCUUAACCUCUCCUCCUCACUUUCUCCUCUCCUCCUCAUCUCCUCUCCUCCUCUCCUCCUCUUCGCCUCUCCUCUUCUCUUAUCCUCUCCUCCUCUCUUUCUCCUCUCCUCCUCAUCUCCUCUUCUCCUCUCCCCCUCUCCUCCUCUCCUCUCCUCCUCUCCCCCUCUUCUCCUCUUCUCCUCUCCUCCUCCUUUCUUCCUCUCCUUUCUCUGCUCUAUAACUAUAACCCUAGGAACUCAUAAUGACAUCAUAACUGCCAUAGCUUUAACAUGGGCUCCUGAGUGGCACAGUGGUCUAAGGCACUGCGCCUUAGUGCUAGAGGUGUCACUCCAGACCCUGGUUCAAUUCCAGUCUGUAUCACACCCGGCCAUGAUUAGGAGUCACAUUGGGGGAUGCGCAAUUGUCCCUGCGUCGUUAGGGUUUGGCCCGGGGUCAAAUAAAAGUUAUUUCCUUUGUUCUCUGUUACCCUCUGCAUGCCUAGGAACUCAUAUAAUGCCAUCAUUUUCUCCAAUAAUCACUUCUUUGUCUAUGCGUGCUGUCUAUGUGGACCGGUGUUUUGAUGAAACGUCACCAAACCUCCUCUUCUCCUCCUUUCUGUUCCCUC